rnacentral:rRNA from 1 species
GAGUGAAGCGGCAACNGCUCAAAUUUGAAAUCUGGCCCCGUCGGGGGNNCGAGUUGUAAUUUGUAGAGAGUGUUUCGGGUGAGACCNNNGUCUAAGUNUAUUGGAACAUGGCGUCAUAGAGGGUGAGAAUCCCGUAUGUGACCGUGGUUCGAGCCCNUGUGAAGCCUCUUCGACGAGUCGAGUUGUUUGGGAAUGCAGCUCAAAAUGGGUGGUAAAUUUCAUCUAAAGCUAAAUACUGGCUGGAGACCGAUAGCGCACAAGUAGAGUGAUCGAAAGAUGAAAAGCACUUUGGAAAGAGAGUCAAAAAGUACGUGAAAUUGUUGAAAGGGAAGCGCUUGCAACCNGACCUGUCCGUAGGUGAUCAGCCGCUGUUCUCAGCGGUGCACUCNCUCUGCGAUCAGGCCAGCAUCGGUUUCGGCGGUCGGAUAAAGGCCUUGGGAAUGUAGCUUCCUUCGGGGAGUCUUAUAGCCCUNGNNGCANUGCGGCCAGCCGGGACCGAGGACCNCGCUUCGGCUANGAUGCUGGCGUAAUGGUUGUAAGCGACCCGUCUUGAANCACGGACCAAGGAGUCUACCAUCUAUGCGAGUGUUUGGGUGUUAAACCCAUGCNCGGAAUGAAAGUGAACGGAGGUGAGAACCCUUNAGGGCGCAUCAUCNACCGAUCCAGAUGUCUUNGGAUGGAUUUGAG